GACGAACGCUGGCGGCGCGCUUAACACAUGCAAGUCGAGCGGUAAGGCCCUUUCGGGGGUACACGAGCGGCGAACGGGUGAGUAACACGUGGGUGACCUGCCCUCAGCUCUGGGAUAAGCCUGGGAAACCGGGUCUAAUACUGGAUAUGACUCCAUGACGCAUGUUGUGGGGUGGAAAGCCUUGUGCGGCUGAGGAUGGGCCCGCGGCCUAUCAGCUUGUUGGUGGGGUGANGGCCUACCAAGGCGACGACGGGUAGCCGGCCUGAGAGGGCGACCGGCCACACUGGGACUGAGACACGGCCCAGACUCCUACGGGAGGCAGCAGUGGGGAAUCUUGCGCAAUGGGCGAAAGCCUGACGCAGCGACGCCGCGUGAGGGAUGACGGCCUCGGUUGUAA
rnacentral:rRNA from 1 species